UACGUAGGGGGCUAGCGUUGUCCGGAAUCAUUGGGCGUAAAGAGCGUGUAGGCGGCCCGGUAAGUCCGCUGUGAAAGUCGGGGGCUCAACCCUCGAAUGCCGGUGGAUACUGUCGGGCUAGAGUGCGGAAGAGGCGAGUGGAAUUCCUGGUGUAGCGGUGAAAUGCGUAGAUAUCAGGAGGAACACCUGUGGUGUAGACGGCUCUCUGGACCGCAACUGACGCUGAGACACGAAAGCGUGGGUAGCAAACAGG
rnacentral:rRNA from 1 species